ensembl:lncRNA
AUGGGAGGUAGGAUGGCUCAGAUGGGUCGGGUUCAGUCCUUACUGUCACCUCUUUCUUCCACUGCAGAAGAUGCCCCCUCUGAUCCCACCGAGGCUACUCCGGGGACUGUGGCCACUGAACCUGAAGUGACUACAUCUCCAGCGGAAACUGUUCCACCCCAAGAGACACCCCAGGAGCCAAACAGCGCCACCACAAGUAAAGAAGGAUUAAACCCACUGAGUAAGUCUCUGUCUCUACGCCAGAUGACAACCCAGAGGAAUCUCUGGUGGCAGGCCUCCAUGACACUUCCUCCCACAGAGACGAGUCCAGGGAGAAGCAGACAUACUCAUUCCCCUGACCGUAAAGUCGCAAGCAGGGGCUCACACUGUACCCACUCACACAGCUUCCGCAAUAGAUUUUGCUGCCUGCACCCUCCAUGGUUUCUUUCCUGGCCCAUGCACCUUCCUAAGAGAAGAAGCUGGGCCCCUCAGCAAAACUUCUUCACUUUAGGGGUUUGUGUAGGAACAAUGUCUGGUGAGGGGCAGGAGGGGGAGGGGGGAGUUUUCUCGAAAUGAUGGGACUUUUCUGCUAAUGUGAUUCUUCUGCUCCGAAAUUAGAACUCCUGGUGAGCAAAGGUAGCUUGGUAGCAGAACAAGGCUUUCAAGAAGCAAGAAAAAAACUGCGUGAAGGAAAACUUUAUGAACGUGAGUAUAUCCCAAGGCAGAGCCUUGUGGGAACAGGAAUACUCACCACUCAUCAUCCAGGGGCAGGAGGUGGGUCAGGACCCCCUUGCCCAGAGACCUGGAACUGCCACAGCCCCUCCCCACUGAACCUUCCCUCCUGUUGUCUUCAAACGUCCCCAAUUUCUCACACACACUCAAACCACAGGGUUGCCUGAUGCCAGAUUGCCCCUGGGUCUCGGCGCCAGCCUUCCCACGGCGGAGCCUGCCCAGAUGGGGAAGGAGCGGGGGGGGGGGGGGGGGGGUCCCUGAGGCUCUGGCGAAUCCACCUUCCAUCCCUCUGACUCCCACGCAAAGCUGUCCAGGGGCUGGGUGAAGUUGCAAAGCAGAAGAGGGAGUUGAGGAGGAUGGACAGGGUGGAGCUGGGGCCUGGGGCCUGUGAGCCUCAUUCUCACCUCUGCUUUCUUCUAGGUGGAGUUGAAUUAGCAGAAAAACUGAAGAAAUUUGCUCCCAGUUCCUUUCUUCUAAGUUGAGUCUAAGAAUUUGAAAAGAACGGGGCCCCUGGACUCAAAGCCUUAAACAUGCUUGCAGCCCAGAACGAUUAAACUGAAGCAUCCAACAUGCUGUGUGCCUGUGCUCUGUGGGGCGGGCCCGGGAGGAGGUGGGGAGCAAAGCCAUCCGCUGGAACGCCAAGAGGCCCUGGGUGUCCUGACCCAGGCCCUUGGGCCUGUCAAGCCUUCCCUUGAGGACGCAACCCCUAACAAACCCUUUCAUUUGCACUGAGCCACCAGCCACACGUGCUGGGCCUCCUUCUAGUGCAAAUGCCUCUCCAGUUCUGGUCUAAUCGCUCACAGAGAGUGCCUCAUGACAUUUGAGCACUUCCAAAAAUUAAAUC